AGCUCGGUAUCUUAGUUGAUAAAGCACUCGUCUAGCAUACAAGAGUCGUGGGUUUGAAUCCCACUAGAGCAA
rnacentral:tRNA from 1 species